rnacentral:antisense_RNA from 1 species
CAUCCUCUCUCCAAAUGUCUCUGAAAAACACUGGAUGAUCAACUAAAAUUCAGAGAGGAUUAGUAACUGCCACCUAGGUUACACAUUAAGGAGCAAAUAGAGAUUUUGCCAAAGGCAGACAGAUUCCAGAGCCUGUGUUCUUAAUCACAGAAACCUUGGCUAUUGUCUCUCUUCUCAUUCAUAAAAAAACUAUCCCUAAUUGUUUGUUUUGCUACAUAAUCUCCCUUUCUAAAUCUAAAACAGAUAAGAGAUUUGUAGAUAUGAUGGAAAAUGAGCUGUUCAUGACUGGCCACUAAUUAAUUCUGGUAAAUGGAAAGAAGGAAUUAACUUCUCCAACUGAAAUCCAAAGCAAAAGAGCCGAAAUGCAGUAGAGUGGGAAACGACUACAAUUUAAGAGUAAAAGCUUUCUCUUAGGCAGAUAGUCAUGACAAGCAAAUCCUAAGACUGCACCUGACCGAGUCAAUAUUUGCUCCUUGAACACUACUUCUACUUGUUCAUUACAAGGGUUUAUCUGGAAGGUUACAGAUAAAUCAGUUACUGAAUCCAUAUGAGCACUGCC